ensembl:lncRNA
CAAACAUGUAUUGACGUGAGGCAUUUGGUGCAUUUGGAAGAAGCAAUCCUAUGUACGUCAGAAUGAAAAACGAUAUGCCACCGGCCCCUGGCUAAUCUACUGCACGUCUUAUAUUUUAGAUUUCUACUAAGUAACCAAGUAGACAAACUUCAACUAUGGGAUAGAAAGGCUGUUUCUUGGUGAAGUCAGUGAGUCUGCGUCUCAUGCGCAAGUCAAAUUCUUUCCUCUACUCCAGGAAGUGGUCAAGUGGGAGGUGUAGGAUGGCUUCCUGUGGAAAUAGAUCCCACAGCAUAUUGAAUCAGACAGAGCACAGCUCACUUGCCUUCUCUCUUCCUGUCAGUAGAUAAUGAGAAGCUAUAUCAAGCCGUUAAAUGUGUACGGUGGAUGUCCAAAUCAUAACAAACCAUGAAAGGGCAGCGCUGCUGUCAUCACCUCUUUCCACUCUCGUUUGUCAGAAACGCAAUCUGACUGCAAAACAGUGAUCUGCACUGCCGAGAGACUUCAAGUGUCACGACUUCAUCUGUGGGCCUCCUCUAGUCCCAGGCAAGAUGGAUGUCAGUGUCGUUAAUGCUACCAGGGGUUCAGAUUUCUGCAACGGUACUCCGUUUGGUUUUCGAUCUGCAGUCCAAAGGAAAAAUGCAGCUGUCCUGGUCUGUAAACAAAUCCUAGUAGACGGUGUGGGGAAGUAUGUGUAGUGUGAAAUAGAGAGAUAAUGGGAAGGUUGUGUAAAGCAAGCUCCCUCUAUGGUAUGCCAGUAAUGCGUAAUGCCUGUUUACCCCCUAGCUGUUCCCCGCUCACUCAUGCGUGACCCUCUGCUCCUGAUUCCCCCUGGAGGGGUUUAGUAUGUGGAAUCCCUGUCGAUCCUCACGUCUGCUCCUCCGACCACCCAGUCCACUCCUGCAGCACAGGAUCCGAUUUCAGCUCCUCUAGAUAAGCCUAACCACGUCCGAGUAGCUUCAAACACACUCAGAUCUGGUCUGUGAUUGAGGCUGGCUCUCUGCACCAUGCAUUAGAGUCUCUAGAUAUCAGAUUACACUAUUACACUAUUACUGAAAGGGGCCUUCGGUGUACAAAUGGCUGGAUGCGGC